rnacentral:misc_RNA from 1 species
UUUUUACAUAAUAUUAUUGGUUCUAUAUAUUGGUAUAAAGCAAAUUGAAAAAUUGGGAAUCCUGACAUGAAGCUUUUAGACUGAAAAUUUGUUGAUUUAAUUGGCUUGGUAUCCUUCAGUAUAUUAAGAAAAUUUUAGAGUGGUUGAAGUAAUGGAAUCGCAAAUUUUUAGAUGAAAAUCCAUCAGAUUUUUGUUCAACAUGUUUGCAACGAAAUACUGUAUCUGUCAUGAAGAUCCCACCCUUUUUACUUGUAUUUGCUAGUUUAGAGGGCAAGUGCUUGCUCUUGGAGCUGUG